GUGGGUCCAUACUCCGGCGGCAACGCUUCAGCGAAAAAAAAACCCCUAUCCUUCGAGACGCUGCACGACGGCAGGGACGCAUAGCUAUGGCGACGGCGGAGGCGACAGGCGAGGGUUUGGAGUUCCUAUCGGAUCCAGUUGACAGGUUUCCUCUGCCAGAUCUCGCCGCCGACGAAUCGCUGGUAAGCGGCGGAGGCAACCAAACUUUCGUAUGCACGGCUACCGAAUUCAGUAUCGGUGAUGUGGGUGAUGCGGCGGUGACAUUGGAACUAGAUUUGCAGAGCGAAUGCAAUGUAGUGGCUCUGUCGGCGCCGAACUCAGAGCAGUCGACGGGCAAAGACGAUCCUCAGGCGCCGGGCUGGACUAAGAGACUGCUUGUUGGGCAUGCACCUGAAGUCCUGAAGAACGCCCUCCGUGUGCCGGCAGAAUGAGUGCUCUUGAAAAAGCAUUGAGAAGAUAUACUGAGAAGAAAACUGACACUGUAAUAGUGCCUGCAGUAGGAAGCACGUCUGAUUCACUUGGAGAAGCUUAUGACUAUUACAAUUUGUAUUCCUAGGAAAUUGGGGAUUUGGGGUAAGAUAUGGCAAGAGCAGGCUUAAUGUUGAAAGGACAAAAUGCAUGCAAGAGAUAGUAUGUGGCUGCUCGGGGAUUCCAUAGAAAAGCAACACCCGGACUUGCCAGUGCAGGUGCCCCGCGCUCAUACGAUUGCUUCGAUCAAAGGACAAUGGAUGGUACAUAAGUGAGUUCAUACCAUCACACAGCCAUUCUUUAAUGGAGAAGUGUGGCAAGAAGGUGUACUCGCCGUCACACAGACAUAUCGAUAUAUACACACGUGAUGUGGUUAAGCAACUCCAUGAAAAUAACAAUAGCAUUGGCAAGGUUUACAAUAUAAUGGAGUAGUUUCUUUGGUUCAAUGUCCAAUGUGCCAUUCAUCAAAAGAGCGUUGAGGGGGCUAUGUGGCAAGAUCAGCCGUGAGCAAGCAGACGAUGUUGUCAGGAAGACAAUGGAUGUUUUUGCCGAGUUGGGAGCAAAAGAUACUGGUCUGUACUACAGAGUGCAGUCGGAUGAGGAUAGCCGCAUACGGAAUUUGUUAUGGUCAACCGGAUCAAGCAGGGCCCAGUACCACUUCUUUGGAGAUGCGAUAACAUUUGAUACAACAUACCGUACCGACCUCGUUGACAUGCCAUUUGGCCUGUUUGUGGGAGUCAACAGACACUUCUAGACCAUGAUAUUUGGUGGCGUCCUAGUGAGAGAUGAGACAGUCGAGACUUUUCAGUGGGUAUUCACUGAAUUCAUUCGCAUGAUGGGCGGAAAACAUCCACAAACUUUGCUUACAGAUCAAUGCAGGUCCAUGGAGAUAGCAAUGGAGAAAGUGAUGCCAGAAACCACUCACCGCUGGUGCAAGUGGCACGUGCUGAAGAAGGCAAAGGAAUCUCUGGGACCAUACUACACAAAGCGCAACAAAUUCAGGCCAGAGUUCCACAAGAUAAUACUCCCUCCGUUCGGAAUUACUUGUCACACAAAUGGAUGUAUCUACAACUAAAAUACAUCUAGAUACAUUCAUUUCUUGGACGAGUAAUUCCGAACGGAGGGAAUACAUCACAUGCUGACAGUGGAGGAAUUCGAAACUGCAUGGAAGCAACUGACAGAAUCACAUGGUUUCGAAAAACAUCCUUACCUUACUCACAUCUAUGAAACAAGAGCAAAAUGGGCUAAACCGCUAAACCAUACUUUAAAAGUAAAUUUUGUGCCAAAAUGACAAGCACACAGCGCAGCGAGAGUGCGAACCAUAUGCUCAAGGGUUAUGUUCCAGCAAGCUGCCCCAUGCAUCUCUUUGUUCGACAGUACAUGCGGCUUCUUUCUUAUAGAGAAGCAAGUGAAAACUAUGAGGAGAGGCGCACAAAAAUAGUAGCCCCAGAAAAUGAACACGCGAAGAGUUGCAUGCAAGCAGAGUCUAUACACAAGCCAUGUUCUAAAAAUUUGGUGAGAUUAUAUACGAAGCAGGUCAAUACAGAGUAGAGGAGGUGACUAGACAGAAAACCUACUUGGUGCCAUGAUACCACCCAAAAAAAUAUGAGAAGUGGGGCAGGAUUGUCUACAAAGUAGAACUUGCUGACGAAGGGAAUGAGUUGAUAUUUGAGUGUUCUAGUUUCGAACACACAGGUCUGCUAUGCUGCCAUUCAGUGAAGGUAAAAAUUAAAUCCCUUGGUACAUGACGCGGGGUGAGCGGUAGACAAACCUGUAUGAUAUGCCAUUUGGGCUGCUUGUGGGAGUCAAUAAUCACUUCCAGAGCGUGAUUUUUGGCGGUGUGCUAGUAAGAGAUGGGCAGUGGAAACUUUUCAAUGGGUGUUCACUGAAUUUACCCGCGUGAUGGGCGGCAAACAUCCACAAACCGUGCUCACAGAUCAAUGCAAGGCGAUGGAAGUAGCAAUAGAGAAAGUGAUGCCACACACGACUCACUGUUGGUGCAAGUGGCACGUGCACUUUGUAAUUUCGUGGGGCUAAAAGCUCCAGAACAAAAACGAAAGCCCGGUCACCAAUCACCCGCAGGGAUAAACCUCCAUAUGAUGAUCGUGGUGCAAAAAGCAAGAAGUACAGACUGACAGCAAAUGCACAAGCUUGAAAUGGAUGCGGGACAAGUAAAUGAACUCGCUUGUCCAUUAUAUGUUGAGAACCAGGGCACAAGAGCACCACAUGUCCACAAAGAGGUGAUCUUCCUCAAAAAGAAAGGAAAGCGGCAAAAUGCUCGAACUGUGGCUUCGGUGGUCACAGGAAAAACACCUGCAGCAAGCCUAGGGUUGUACUCCAUGUUGAAAUUGCUACCUUAGAGCCAAAUGCAAUUUGCGGGUGACUUAAUUUAGAUUCAGUGUUUGUUCUGUGUUGUUGAGGGCGUUGUAGCCGUUAACUUUAACUGCAAGACUCUUGUUGUAAUAAUAACCGUCAGUGAAGUACGCGUUGUUUGUGAUCAGGUUGUCGUUGUGAUUUGAAUGUUUAUCAUGUAGAGGAAAAAAUGUAUGAGAGUCUGCCUAAUGUUGUAGUGUGCAUGUGCA